rnacentral:lncRNA from 1 species
AAAAAAAUCAAGGGAUAACCUAGCUAGCAUAUGCAAUAUAUAUGUGACCCAGGGGAAAGAACUGCAUCAGAUUGCCCCUGUCAAACAAAAUGCAGGAGACACAUGUUGUGUGUGACUAUCCAACCGAAUAAAUUUCAACAUCAAAAAUUAAAGAAGAAGUUGGAUCAGUACGUACCUUAGUAGAAAUAUAGAGUAGGCUGAUCAUUCAUCAUAAGCAAUUUCAGCCCCAGGCGUGAACUCACACGGUCUACAGCAACACAAAAAAUCGCCGCUGCCGCUGCAGCUGCAUUUGAAGCGAAUGCCAGCUCAGCAAGCCCCAUGGCGGCCGUCAUCGGCCCUCGCUCUCUGUAGUGCUCCAACGCUGACGCUCCCGUUCCUGGCCACCUUCCCAUCAUGAAAGAAUCUGCCCACGGCAUGCUCGCGUGCCCCCACUGCGAGCCGAGGCGCCAUCGUUGCCUCAACGGACGUUGGCACUUGCCAGGGAGUGCUCUCCGGUCUCCACAGCAUGCAUCAUCAUGCUCGCCAACCGGCCACAGUCCCCGUCCGUGCGGAGGUAUCCUUCGGUUACAUGACGCACACCCUCGCAAGCUGCUGCACACGCCGCGUCCCCGUCGAGCACUUCC